rnacentral:rRNA from 1 species
UACGUAGGGGGCGAGCGUUGUCCGGAAUCAUUGGGCGUAAAGGGUGCGCAGGUGGUCCGUUCAGUCUGAUGUGAAAUCCCUGGGCUCAACUCAGGAAUGGCAUUGGAAACUGGCGGGCUAGAGUACCGGAGAGGGAAGCGGAAUUCCUGGUGUAGCGGUGAAAUGCGUAGAUACCAGGAGGAACACCGGUGGCGAAGGCGGCUUCCUGGCCGGAUACUGACACUCAUGCACGAAAGCGUGGGGAGCAAACGGG